GUACCAGCACGCUCCACUCGUCGAGAGCUUCGCGGCGACAUAAAUUUCAAAUUUUUCCGACACCGUUUUUCGGUGGGUCCCACGGAACUUCGCAGUGUUUUUCCGAGCAUUAAAUGAGCUUAGAAAAUUCUGAAAAAUUUAUGUACUAACCCCCGUGUUAUGGGCUUCGUGUAGGUAUCCUCAAUUCGCGGAAAUUCGACAGUUGACCGGGUCUGCAAAUUUCGGGCCAGACAGACCCGUUACCGGAAAAGUCUCCGAAUUGGACCGAGGUUUUGGCUACCCCCCCAUUGUCAGACGUCCCGAGUGCGUCCCCGAAGUCGGAAUCGGCAAAGGUGAGCCGGGACAGCCUUCUUCCUCCGCCCAGCCGCCUCAGUGACCAUCGUCAAGUCUGUGAGUAGAAUAUUAAUUUUAAUUGUAAUUUCGAUAUUAUUAUAUGUUCAAGCAUGCCCAUGCAUCACUUAUAUGCAUAUAUUUAUGUAGUUAAACUCUAGGCACGAUUUAUGUUGCAUUCAUAACUGUUGAUGUGCCAUGGAUGUUGUUGUGGUAAUUUGGAGCAGUGUGCGUGCGUUGGCGUGCGUGUGAUGUGGUGUGGACUAUGGAUAGGACGGGGUAGUCACGGCUUGAGUAAUUCGCUGGGACCCUCGAUUUGGUUAUUAAGUGGAAGU